GAGGGCAGGUCCCUCGGAAUCGCUAUGCAGGUAGAGGUUCCAAACCACCUUAAGCUGCUUUGGUCAAAAGCCAUGGUGGUGAGCGUUAAGGAAAAGGCGAGGCAUGACUUCGUUAGGU
rfam:Desulfosporosinus orientis DSM 765, complete genome.